UACGUAGGGGGCGAGCGUUGUCCGGAAUCAUUGGGCGUAAAGCGCGUGUAGGCGGCCAUCCAAGUCCGAUGUGAAAGCUCGGGGCUCAACCCCGAGUCUGCAUUGGAAACUGGAUGGCUUGAGUCCGGAAGAGGAGACUGGAAUUCCUGGUGUAGCGGUGAAAUGCGCAGAUAUCAGGAAGAACACCGGUGGCGAAGGCGGGUCUCUGGGACGGUACUGACGCUGAGACGCGAAAGCGUGGGGAG
rnacentral:rRNA from 1 species